GGGGGGGGCUGCUGUGGGUCCCCAUUGAACCUUCCUCCCCCCGCAGUAUUCCUCAGCACAGAGCGACCCCACAGCCCUGCAGCAGCAGCAGCCCUAUUACCAAUGGUACCAGCCCUACAGCUACUCCUACCCCUACAACUACUACUACCCCAUGGACCCCCAGCAAAACGUCUAUUCGGGGUACGGGGCUGCAGCCCCAUAUGGCACCACGGGCACUUAUGGGGCUGCCCCCCAGCAGCCCCCCACCCCCGGGCAGCAGAGCGGCCUCAGCCAGCAGCCUCCAGUCCCGGGUCUGGACGAUGCCGCCCCCUACAACAGCUCCCAGCCCCAAAUGCCCCCCAGCGCCGCCCCCCCCCAGCCCCCCCAGCCUCACCCCAUGGGCACGGGGGGGGCUCAGCCCCAAGGGGGUGGGGGGGGCCCUCAGCCCAGCCCCACUGCUGCCUACCCCCCCCACUCCUACACCGAGAGCCCCGGCCCCAAACCCAAGAAGGGGCAGCAGCUGUGGAACAGGAUGAAGCGUGAGUAAUGGGGCGGGUUUGGGGUGGGCUCCAUUUGGGGGCCCCCAGAGCCUCACUUUGCCCACCCAAUAUUGCCCCUGGAUCUCUCUCCAGCCCCCCAAGCCCUUCAGACCCCCAGAUGCUGCCCCCAAACCCCCAUU
rnacentral:lncRNA from 1 species